rnacentral:rRNA from 1 species
CAAUAGCGUAUAUUAAAGUUGUUGCAGUUAAAAAGCUCGUAGUUGGAUUUCUGGGAGGGUGCCGCCGUCCGGCGUGUCCGUGUGCGGUGGCGCCCUUCCAUCCUUCUGUUAGCGUCUCUUGGCAUUCAUUUGCUGGUGGCGGGCUCAGAUAUUUUACCUUGAGAAAAUUAGAGUGUUUCAGGCAGGCUAGGCCGGAAUACAUUAGCAUGGAAUAAUGGAAUAGGACUACGGUCUCUUUGUUGGUUUGAGGGACUGCAGUAAUGAUUAAUAGGGAUAGUUGGGGGCAUUAGUAUUUAAUUGUCAGAGGUGGAAUUCUCAGAUUUGUUAAAGACUAACUUAUGCGAAAGCAUUUGCCAAGGAUGUUUUCAUUAA